UAAGGUGUUUGAUCCAUUUGGAAUUAAUUUUGUGGAGGUUGGAAAAGACAUCUCAUGUGUUCGGUAGCAAUGCAAUAUUAAGCUGUGGUGUAAAGGAGUAGAAUUGGUGAUGUGAAGGAUUUACUAAUGCUUAGUGUCGGAGGCCAGCUCCGGCGAUCUAAGGUAGCCGAUGGGGAAGAGCGUCAGCAGGGGCAAGACUUGGACUUGGGAGAUAUUUAGGGUUACUUUUUAAUAACACGACGUUUACCUUUCUUAAAUCUAAGUGAAUUUGUAGUAGUAGCCUGAGUUCCCCUGAGACCAGAAACUACAGUCUCUGACGUCUAGCACAUCAUAGUAAAACAGAGAUUAAGUAGGCUUUGUCCUUAUCUCCACCUGCUAGUUAAAGACUCAGGAAGAAAAAGAGACACUUUGAAAAAUGAUUUUAAUCUUUACUUCUAAGUUCUUUUUCUCCAAAAAAGAAAAGAAAAGAAAAGAAAUUCCAAAAAAAUUCUCUCCUAUUUCUAAGCUUUCUUUUUAAUUUCUAAGUUAUUCUACUCCGCAGUCAUUCUUCCUGUCUUGCUCUCUCUUCCUGCUCUGAUGUAACAAUGCCCUUGUAACGUCUUCAUUUCUAGUUUUUUAUACCUUUUCUAAGGAAAUAGAUUACAUGGUCUUUCCAAGCAUCCUUUUUUUUUUACAAAAGUUCACCAAAAGUUCAAACAUAAAUUCAAAUCAUAACUCGAAUAAGACGUUUACAACAGAGAGUGUUUACAUAUGUAUCCACUAAGACUAGACAUUCAUUAUCUGUCACUAGCUUUACAGGUUCAUGGGGAGUUAAAAACCAUAACUAAGUUAUCAUUGAAAUUUUGUAUAGAUAAACCCAGGCAAUAUUUUAUCUUCUGUCCUUGUACCUACAAUAAAUCGUUAGUUCACUUUUUAUGACCUUAGGUUAAUUGUUUUACAACCUCUUGGAAUGUGUUCUAAGUUUUAGAUGCCUGCUUUCUAUCUCAGAAGCAAUUAACUUAGACUUCAUAGUUUCUUCAUACAUUUCUGCUGACUUGAUAGAUGUCUCCCAUUUCCUUCCAUUUCCCCCAUAUAAGAACUGUACAAGGUGUUAUUCUUCUUAAGCUUACUUAACAUAAGACAUAGCUUGUACAAUAGUUCCCUACCCCAGCAUUUAUAUUUUCUAUCUUCUCAUUUUCCUAUGUUUUUCACCAUCUGGGACCUUCCACUUAGGAUACUAUUACUGAAGAAUAACAUUCUGUUUUAGGGCACUGGUGUACUUAAGAAAUAAUUCUGGGAAUAUUUUUGCUGUGUAAAUCUUCCAUCUGUCUAUGUGGUUAGACUUGUCAUCUCCAAUCC
rnacentral:lncRNA from 1 species